ACACCCCCCCGCCUCACCGGGUAAGUGAAAAAACGAUAAGAGUAGUGGUAUUUCACCGGCGGCGCCCCGUGGCUCGCGAAGGAGCGGGGGCCUCCCACUUAUCCUACACCUCUCAUGUCUCUUCACAGUUGCAGACUAGAGUCAAGCUCAACAGGGUCUUCUUUCCCCGCUGAUUCCGCCAAGCCCGUUCCCUUGGCUGUGGUUUCGCUAGAUAGUAGGUAGGGACAGAUGGUCUCCUGAGGAAUCUCCUCCCAGACCUGGACUAAAGCAUCUACCAACUCCUGGACAGUCUGUGGUGCAACGUGAUGUUGGUGGAUGGAGCGAGACAUGAUGUCCCAUAUGUGCUCAAUUGCAUUCAGGUCUGGGGAACGGGCGGGCCAGUCCAUAGCAUCAAUGCCUUCG